GUGAGGGCAUUAUUUGCGCACCAUCACGUGCCCCUCCUUUUUACGCAGGUGCUGUGGGCUCUGUCUAGUGCCAGGAGAGAGCAUGAAGCAGCCGUAUCGAUCAACGUGGCGGGUGUAUCUUCCGGGGUUGUUUGUGAUGUCGAUUUUUAGUGUUGUGGUUUAUUUUAGUCGGACGCGCUCAGAUGUGGUGAAGUACGGUUACGAUUUUGUACCCAUCUACUCUGAGGACGGCAAGCUUGAGGGCUUCACACAUCCCGUGCUCGUGAAAGCGGGCAACCAGUACCGCGAGAUGGAAGAAGAACGGAGGUUGCGAUGACAGCUUGGCUUCCUCUCUGGCUCAUGCUCUACUCGCACGUGAGCCUGGAUCUAUUGGGGGUGAGGAGGUUGGGCGGUGCGCACACUCUGCGCACGUAUCGGCCUACCUUGUAGGCCUUUAUCUGUGCUUGUGUAUCUUAAGGAAGAGGGUGCUUUUUUUUUAGCGAAGACGUUUCUCGAUCUUUUCUGGGCUAGCACAAACGCCCUCUGGCUGACCAAAGACGAUCUACUCGCUGCUGCUGUGCCUUUCGCACCCAAAUGGGUUUGGUCCCCGCGGAUGUGUGCAACUGCGUGCAUGGUUGUCAUGGACACACCUCCACGCUGAGGAAUGGACACUCUAAGGGAGUCUUUUUCUUGCCCCAUCUGGCCUGGCGGUCUGCAAGGAGGUCACGUGACGACGAGAUGACCAAAAGCAAGCAACGGACCGUGACUGCUGCGGUGAGCCAGCGUUGAGGGAGAACUACUUACUAGCGAUUUGUUACUCUCGUUGCUGCGUCGCAUUGUCUGUCGCAUCCCCGAAUGAUUGUAAAGGCGGAACUCACAAUAUUCUUCUCCUUUACUGCUUGUUCUUCGCAAACCUGUUUCCUUUGCUUGCGCGGUCAUGUGUGUGUGCGGGUGUGCACUCUUUACUCGCAACUGGUCGGCUCUCGCCCGUGCUUAUCGGAACGAGGUGAUCUGAACACACUUGCCAG
rnacentral:misc_RNA from 1 species